rnacentral:ncRNA from 1 species
AUAUUUAUAUGGUAAUAAGAAUUUUUAAUAAAAAAACUUUAUGUAUUUAAUUAAUAGUUUAUUUAUAGAAGUUUUAUUUUUUAAUUUUAAAUAUUUAAAAUUAGUUUUUUAAUAAGUUCUGGCGAAGCCUGUGCCAGCCGCCGCGGUUAUUCAGGCAGAGUAAAAAUUCUAUUUUUAAUUAAAAAAGUAUUUUUGUUUUUUUUAAAAAAAAGAAGGUAAAAUUUUUUUUUUUAGUUUUAUGUUAAUUGUUUUUUAUAAAUUUAUUCAUAAACUAGGAUUAGAUACCCUAUUAUUGUUAUAGUGUAAAAUUGGGAGUAAUUUUUAGGUUAUUAAAUCUUAAGAUUUUGGCGGUAUUCUAAGCUUUUUAGAGGAAUUCAUUCUUUAAUUGAUGAAACUCAAAAAUCUUACUUGAUUUAGUCAUAACAGUUUGUAUAUCGCUAUCAUUUAUAAUUAUAUUAUUUGGUUAUGAUUUUGGUUAAUAUUUUUAAGAAUUUUAGGUCAAAAUGCAGCAUAAGAUUAAGGUUGAAAUGGGUUACAGUUAUUUAUAUAUGGUUUGUUUGAAAUUUUAUAUAGGAUUUAAUAGUAAAUUAAAAUUAUAAUGUUUAAUUGAAUUUAGCUCUAGGAUAUGCACAUAUCGCCCGUCGCUCUCACUUGUGAGAUAAGUCGUAACAAAGUAAAAGUACCGGAAGGUGUUUU